CGAAUCUUCAAAAAUUCUUUAAA
rnacentral:tRNA from 1 species